rnacentral:lncRNA from 1 species
UUUGCCCCAUAUUAUAAAUGAGGAAUAAAUUAGCGAUGAUUAAAAUAAGCUUGUAGAUUUCUUUAAUCCCAGUCUUUAGUUGAGAACGGACGUGUGUUAAUAUUCAAAAAUGAAGUAUUUUAACUUGGCGGUUUUCCUUUUAGUAGUGUUUUGUACUUUUAAUAUGGAAGUGGAAGCUGCUCUGGUGCCCCGAUCACGUUUGCAAUGCAGUUAUUCAAAAUCCAAGCUGAUUCAAAAACUUUUGGCUGAACAAUCAAAAACUGAUGGUUACAGCAACCAACACGAUGAAGAACUGAGGUUGAUACAAACGCUUUGUGCCAACCAAAAGUAAGAAGAAUAAAUGCCAUGGAGAAAUGA